rnacentral:rRNA from 1 species
UACGAAGGGUGCAAACGUUGCUCGGAAUUAUUGGGCGUAAAGCGCACGUAGGCGGCUUUUCAAGUCCCAUGUGAAAUCCCACGGCUUAACCGUGGAAGUGCAUGGGAAACUGGAAAGCUUGAGUACUUAAGAGGAUCGCGGAAUUCCCGGUGUAGAGGUGAAAUUUGUAGAUAUCGGGAGGAACACCAGUGGCGAAGGCGGCGAUCUGGGAAGAUACUGACGCUGAGGUGCGAAAGCGUGGGGAGCAAACAGG